AACGCACAUUGCGCCCCGUGGCAUUCCGCGGGGCAUGCCCGUUCGAGCGUCAUCAACACCCCUCGAGCCCAGCUCGGUGCUAGGGCGCGCCCUCCCCGGCGGCCCCCAACUCCAGUCGCGGUCCCCCGGGCACCCACAGCGUAGUCACGUCUCGCUGGGCGGGCCCCGGGCGGCGGCGAGCGAACCCCCCCUAGCAGUUGACCUCGGAUCGGGUAGGAGUACCCGCUGAACUUAA
rnacentral:misc_RNA from 1 species